GAUGAACGCUGGCGGCGUGCCUAAUACAUGCAAGUCGAGCGAACAGAUAAGGAGCUUGCUCCUUUGACGUUAGCGGCGGACGGGUGAGUAACACGUGGAUAACCUACCUAUAAGACUGGGAUAACUUCGGGAAACCGGAGCUAAUACCGGAUAACAUAUUGAACCGCAUAGUUCAAUAGUGAAAGGCGGCUUUGCUGUCACUUAUAGAUGGAUCCGCGCCGUAUUAGCUAGUUGGUAAGGUAACGGCUUACCAAGGCAACGAUACGUAGCCGACCUGAGAGGGUGAUCGGCCACACUGGAACUGAGACACGGUCCAGACUCCUACGGGAGGCAGCAGUAGGGAAUCUUCCGCAAUGGGCGAAAGCCUGACGGAGCAACGCCGCGUGAGUGAUGAAGGUCUUCGGAUCGUAAAACUCUGUUAUCAGGGAAGAACAAAUGUGUAAGUAACUGUGCACAUCUUGACGGUACCUGAUCAGAAAGCCACGGCUAACUACGUG
rnacentral:rRNA from 1 species